rnacentral:lncRNA from 1 species
CACACGGUGACUCCCUUCAGAAGAGCGCAGUUUGGAUGGCAGUGGAGGAGGGAGUGACUUCACAGGAGAGGAACCUGACAAACGCUGCCUCAGCCAGUGAGCAAGGUCAGCGUCAUCAGUCACCAAUUGUGUGGAGACUGUGGACACUUGACAUCACGGCAGGAGAAUGGGAGUCUGUGGUCUCCUCCCCCAAACUCAUGAGCUUGUAAUUGUGACAGAAGCACCAGACAGAUUUCAGUAGAGCAGUGUGAUGGUUAGUUCUCUGUGACAACUCAGCUAGUCCUCAGCACCCGGUUAUUCAAUCAAACACUCAUCUAGGUACUGCUGUGAAGGUACUUUGUACAUGGGAUGAACAUCUCCGAUCUGUUGACUCUAAGCAAAGGAGACGAUCUCGAUACUCUGGUUGGUCCUCAUCCAAUGAGUUGAAUGGCCUUAAGAACAAAACCAAAGGUUCCCCAAGGAAGAAGAAAGUCUACCUACGGAUGGCAGUGCCAGCGCCUCCCUGCAGACUUUGGACUUGCAUAACCAGCCCCCACAAUUGAUAAGCCAAUUCCUUGGCAAUAAAGCGGAUCUGCACAGGCGGUGCAUCCUUGUAUCCACCAUGGUGAGAGUGUUAGUGAGCAUGAAGGUGCAGCACUCCCCUGGGUAUUAGCACCCCACGUACCUCAGCAACGGAAUCCUUAUUGCCAUCUGGACGGUAAGUGAUCCAAUUCCAAUUCCUGGGGAUCUGCUUCCUACGACCACUUCAGAUACUAACCGUAUUUUUGGGGGUUCCCCCUAGAAGUAGAACCUGAGUCAAGGAUUCAAAGGCAAGUAUUUACUUGAGAAAUGAUGCUGGGAAUCACCAGCAAGCAAAUGGGAAAGUGACACAGGGAAGAAGAGGAGGCCAAUAAAGGAUGUGCUAUCAAGCAAGUUAGGAGGGUGGACAACUGGAACUUAAUCCUGCUGGGGAACUCAGGGAGCGAGGAAUAAUGUGAGACUCAGGACCACCCCACCUGAGGGAUGAGAGAGCUGGGAUAUUUAUCCCCCAAUCCCAAUCAGUUAUUGGCUGAGGGUUGCUACGGAUGGGCAGCAGGGAAGACAGACUGUGCCUCCAUUUCCCCCACCUUCCUGUAAAAGAUGCAACCAACUUUGCAGGGCCCUGCUGGGAUUGCAGAGGGUUGAUGGCACCAUGUAACAAUGCUGGCAGCCAAGGGGUUAACCCUCAGGCCAGCUGCCCCUGGGCUGAUGUGAGGUAGGACUGGAGGGGGGGGCGGAGAGGGGGGGCGGGGAAGCAGUGCCUUGGCUCCAUCCCCUCCAGUUUCAUGGGCACCAGCUCUACCGCUGGGAACUUCCACAGCGCCCAGGCCCGUAGCUGCCAGUCUACUCUCCAUUCACUGUCCUGAGUGGUUCCAGGCGCCGAGCUUCUAAGGCUUGUUCUGGUUUCCCAUCCCCCACCCGAGGCGCCGUUGACUCCGCCGGCUGGUGCAGACAAAUCAAGCCCGGAGUGCAGACAAAUACGCAGUGUCUCCGACUGCUCCUUGGCCUCCUGGGUCAGCAGCGUAGAGCCACCUGCGCUUUCUGAACGCAGACCUGGCCUUGGCCUCGCUGGCAAGACCGAUACAAAAUGCGUUAGGGUAGGGGAGCUGGGAUGAGGGCACAGGAGGUGAGGACCUCCAUUCCCCAAGCAGCGCGGGAGAAAUCGGAGAGACACCAUGGAUCACAGGUCAGAAACAAGGGAGGAGAGGCGUCGGAGAUCAGAGACGCGAGGCGAGGGCUCCGGGCCUUGAGUGUGGGGUGGACAGACCAGAUGCCCCCUCUUCCUCCUUCCAAUCGAUGCCUCUUCCAGGGACCCCCUCUGCCCUCCCUGGGGCCUCGGCCCUCUCCCCAUCCCCCUAAAAUCCUGCACCCUCUGCGGAUUGGUCCCCGGCCUGCAGGGGGGCGGGGCCCGAGGGCCCUGACGUCACCGGUCGAGGGGGGCGGGCGACUGGGGGA